rnacentral:tRNA from 1 species
GGGGACUUAGCUCAGCUGGGAGAGCGCCUGCCUUGCACGCAGGAGGUCGAGGGUUCGAUCCCCUUAGUCUCCA